rnacentral:rRNA from 1 species
GACGAACGCUGGCGGCGUGCUUAACACAUGCAAGUCGAACGAUGAACCGGGUGCUUGCACUUGGGGAUUAGUGGCGAACGGGUGAGUAACACGUGAGUAACCUGCCCUGGACUCUGGGAUAACCCCGAGAAAUCGGAGCUAAUACCGGAUAGGACCUUUCACCGCAUGGGGUUGGGUGGAAAGUUUUUUCGGUUUGGGAUGGACUCGCGGCCUAUCAGCUUGUUGGUGAGGUAAUGGCUCACCAAGGCGUCGACGGGUAGCCGGCCUGAGAGGGUGACCGGCCACACUGGGACUGAGACACGGCCCAGACUCCUACGGGAGGCAGCAGUGGGGAAUAUUGCACAAUGGGCGCAAGCCUGAUGCAGCAACGCCGCGUGCGGGAUGACGGCCUUCGGGUUGUAAACCGCUUUUAGUAGGGAAGAAGCCUUCGGGUGACGGUACCUGCAGAAAAAGGACCGGCUAACUACGUGCCAGCCGCCGCAGUAAGAC